rnacentral:rRNA from 1 species
AGAGAUGUGUGAUGACGCAUAUCAAUAAGCGGAGGAAAAGAAACUAACAAGGAUUCCCUUAGUAACGGCGAGUGAAGCGGGAAGAGCUCAAAUUUGAAAUCUUCAAGGUUCUACCUUGACGAAUUGUAGUUUAAAGAAGUGUUUUCUGUUAGUGGAGUGGCAAAAGUUCUUUGGAAUAGGACAUCAUAGAGGGUGAGAAUCCCGUAUUUGGUCAUUCCUUCUAGCUUUGUGAUACACUUUCAAAGAGUCGGAUUGUUUGGGAAUGCAGUCCAAAAUGGGUGGUAAAUUUCAUCUAAAGCUAAAUAUUGGCGAGAGACCGAUAGCGAACAAGUACCGUGAGGGAAAGAUGAAAAGAACUUUGAAAAGAGAGUUAAACAGUACGUGAAAUUGUCAAAAGGGAAGCGUUUGACACCAGUGUUGUUUUUCCGAAAAUCAAUUACGAAUGUUUUAUUUUUGAGGAGUUAUGACUUCAUCGGCUUGCUCCUUUCUUUAUGAAACUUUCUUAAUGCACUUUUCGGUUAACAAGUCAACAUCAAUUUCUUUUGUUGUAAAAGAGUAUUGGGAAGGUGGCUUUCUUUUCGGAGAAAGUGUUUAUAGCCCUUUACUUCUGCAAUCGGAGAGAUUGAGGUCUGCAGCGUAGAUCCUUCGGGGUUAGAUACAUUUGUGCUAAGUUAUAGCUUUUCAUAGACAACUUGUUGAUUAUGAUUAGUCUUGUAGCUUACUCGCUUAUGCUAUUUUACCUACGCUUAGGAUGUUGAAGAUGUAGCACAUCAU